UACAGAGGGUGCAAGCGUUAAUCGGAAUUACUGGGCGUAAAGCGUGCGUAGACGGUUAUUUAAGUCAGGUGUGAAAGCCCCGGGCUCAACCUGGGAAUUGCAUUUGAGACUGAAUAGCUAGGGUGCGGAAGAGGGAAGCGGAAUUUCCGGUGUAGCGGUGAAAUGCGUAGAUAUCGGAAGGAACACCAGUGGCGAAGGCGGCCCUCUGGACGGAGUACUGACGCUGAGACGCGCAAAGCGUGGGAGGCAACAGGG
rnacentral:rRNA from 1 species